GCCAUGUUUCUGACCUUGGCCAUGUGUGGCUUCUCCCUCCCACCUUGAUUCCAGGCUACAGCCAGCCCUCUACCUCUCCUUAGGAGUCAAUGUUCUGUCUCUCUAGCUCUCCUUUUCAUUGGCUGGGUAGCUCCUGGCCUCUGUCUGUCCUCCCAGGUGAAGGGGAGGCAGCAGGACCAGCUCCAGCUCUUCCGGCAAGAGGACAGGCAGCUAUGAGUCUCUGCCCAGCUUCAGUACCCUAGAGAGAAGGAGGAGGGAACCACUGGUGGUCAGAUGCCCUCGACCUCCAGUCCCAGCAUCAGGGACACCCAGAUUGCUCCUGUUCUUUCCCUCUCCCAUCAGGGGCUCCCCUUCAGUCCCUCCCCUGCAGUCCUGUGCAGGACCCACGCCCACCAGCCCCAUUCCCUGCCCUGAUCGGUUCCUUUUGCACAGUCUCACACCCUCCCUGGGGUUAAGAGGUGAGGGUGGGCCUUCUGGAGGCCACUCCUUGACCCCCAGGAUGCAAGACUGGAUUUGCGGGUCCUUCUCUCCUCCACUCUACAGAUGAGGAGACCAAGGCUCAGGGAAGCCCUGCCCCAGGUCGCAUGACUCUCACGUGGUAGGUCUAAGACUCAAACUCCAGUCUCAGUGAGUCCACAGAGCAUUCUGCUCCUUCUGGAUGCUUCUGCCCGGUUGCCCCAUACAACUUCAGGGCCUCAGCAUCCAAGAACAGAGUUCUGGGGGGUGACUCCCAGGAGGUUAUAUUUUUAUAAUGUUCCUAAGGUGAUUCCCUCCACAGCUGUGAAAGCCCUGUCUAAUCCAGAGCCUUCCUUGACCAGGGGGGAUAUAAGGCCCAGAGCAGUAGAGUCACCCUGGUGACAGUCCCUCGACAGUCUUCAAUGGAGGGCACUGCCAGCCUGUGACUGGUGGUGGGUGGGGGUGAGAGAGUGGGGCUGGGACCUUUGGUGAUUCCCGGGGCUGGUUGUAGGAGGCUCUGCUUCCUCCCACCCCCGGAUGAGGUUGGCAUUGUCUUACUGAGUAGAUGGUGAGGGUGGGAGAGCAUGAUUUCAUCACAGGAAGUGGCCUUGUCUUCUGGAGGUGGAAGCAAGCAGACCGACUUCUUUUUUCCUCUUCUGUUUCUUUCUCAAAAUUCAUAGUUCUCUUCCACACUUCUCCAUGGGCCAGCCAGGCAGCCCCUGCCCUUUCCCUGUGUCUGCAUUUCUUAUACCUCCUCCCAGGCUCGAGAAGAGAAGAAGAGAAGAGGAGAGGAGAGGAGAGGAGAGGAGAGGAGAGGAGAGGAGUUCUGCAUUUUCAUGGGAUCCCCUUAUCUGAGCCAGGCUCUAAACACCCAUUGCCUCAUUUUCAACUUUACAACAUUGUGUCAUGGAUGUAUUUUCACCAACAGGAAACUGAGGCACUGGCAAGAAACUGAGCCUCAAUGUCAUGGACUCCUCUGGGCUGUGGAAGGUGCUUGGGCAAAUGAUGCAAGCUGCACAUUUCACGUCGUGUUCAGGCCCCUGGACCCAGUUGGAUCCCCAUGAUACCUGGAAUUGUGAGGCCAAUCCUGUGAGGUAAAGGAAUUUUAUUCCCACCCAACACAGGAAGAAACGAAGGCUCAGACGGGUCAUCUCACCCACUCCAGUUCCCUCCACCGGGCAGGUCUAGAGUUUGGACAACGCUCAGACAGUAUGGUGAAGUCUCCUGCCCCUGUUUUCCCUUCACUUCCUCAGCCUCCUGACCGACCUUGGUGCCUCCCGACAUGGCCCCUCUCGGAAUUCCGUGCCUCCUGUUUCUAGGGAUCUUAGUUAAGUCUCGCCAAGCCCCAGGAGGUAUGCACGGUCUGUUACAGUCCUCAUUUUACAAGAGGAAACUGAGGUCCCGUGGGAGGUUAUGAACAUCACUUCAGGUCACACUGCCAGUAAGUAUCCGCCGUGGUGUGGGGUCUGUGCCUGUGCAUGGUGGCACUUCCCCCGCAGUGGCAGCAAUCAACAGUCCUCUGACCCACAUUACAGCCAGAGUUCCCUUUUCUUUUCUUUUUUUUUUUUUUAAAGAUUUUUUAUUUAUUUGACAGAGAUAGAGACAGCCAGAGAGAGAAGGAACACAAGCAAGGGGAGUGGGAGAAAGAAGCAGGCUCACAGCAGAGGAGCCUGACGUGGGGCUCGAUCCCACAACGCCGGGACCACGCCCUGAGCCGAAGGCAGACGCGUAACCGCUGUGCCACCCAGGCGCCCCCAGAGUUCCCUUUUCUGGGUUGUCUUCCUGCUACGCAGGGAGAUGCUUGAGGACAGACUGGCUUGUGCGGCUUUGGGCGCACACUCUGAGGGAAGGCCUUGUGGACACAUAGCAAGAUGGCAUCACCUACAAGCCACAGGCCAUGACCUCGGAAUGCAACCUACCUGGCCAGCACCUUGAUCUUGGACUUCCUGGACUCCAGAACCAGGAGAAAUUCCUGUUAUUUAAGCCACCGGGUCUGUGGCUCUUCAUGAUGGCGGCCGAGCAGACGGCUCCCACUCCCACUGUGAAGUCACUGAACUUGAGUCCAGAAGAAGCACGCAGCAGGUGCUCUCCAUCAUUCCCACCGCACAGACACAGCAGCACGGACAACCUCAAGAGCACAGAGGGAAGCUGUGGAAGCUGUUACAAACAAGUCGAUUGGAGUCACCUGGAAGUUCGAGCUCCAGUGGCUUCUCAUUGGCGGAGCUGCCUCUCAUUGGCUGGGUCGUCGCGCGGGGCGGGGAGGAAGGCCUUUCUCCCAGCCGCUGGGCUAUGAAAGCAGCAGCCCCCUGAAAGGCCCGGCUCCUUCCCCGUGGAUUUGCAAUUGAGGGCGCGCGGCCUCGCUGCUCCCCGCUCAGAUGUUGAAAUGAGGCUGUUCGAGGGCCGUGUUGUGGAGAUUCCAGAUGUCACUGGCCCUCCUCUGCAGGGUUUGCCCAGAACCUGAAGUUGGAGAGCCGCCUCCUGCCCUCGGCUGGGCCAGCACACCUAGUAUCCUGCGCGUUUGUGUGUCCCUCUGUUGGAGUGGGAUCGCAGCCUGGGGUUUCUUGUUGAGGAGUUCCUCCCCCAUAGCGCCUGGGAGAGGCCCAGAGAAGAGGCCAGGGCCUUCUACCUGUGUCCCACUGGCUGAGCCCUCAGACACACCUCGGCCCUAUUUCUUCUUUCAAGGUCCCAGGCCCCCAUCAUGCACUGUAGGGGUCAGCAUGAGCAGGGUGGACACCCCGACUUGGCUGGGGGCGAGGCCAUGUCAUCCAGCACCCUGCAGUGAGCCCAGCAAGGGUUCAAGUCUUCCUGGCCUGCAGGGGCAGAAGUCGCACACCCAGCCAGGAGGCCGUGGUGUCCAGGUGCCAGCGCUCCGUCUGGGCGCUUCACUCUUCCCGCUGGGCCCUAGAAGGGAAGCAGGUGCCAGGCACCUUGACCUCCCAGGCUAGGGGUCAGUACGGACUGGUGGCUGCUGAGGGUCCAGAGCCGAGAGAGGUGGGGACUGUCUGUACGGGCAGUGCGGGCCAUACAGAGGGUCGGGGUACUAGUGAUGUGGGGCUGCCAGGCAAAAGGUCAAGAAAGAAUUCCUGAGACAUUUUUGGUGCAAAAAAGUUGUUGUUAUAGCCUGGGGAUAGGACCUGUGGGCAGAAAGAGGUGCACUUGUGAUUGUGAGGAGUGACUGAUGACAUACUUCUUACUUAGUGGGGGCUGGAGAUAGCGUAGGUCUCUAAGGAAUUUGGAAACAAGGUUUCCAGGGCCUUAAGGGGUUAGCUAUUGUUAAGAUAAGGGUAUCUGCUCUACUGUCAAGGAAAACCUUGACCCUUCAGAUGUAAAUCGAUAGGCCAUACGUUGAAAAAAAUUGUUACCGUAUAUCCUGGUCACCACACCAUUCUGGGGUGGGGCAGAGGCAAGAAGGAGCAACUGACGUGGGUAGAGGUAGCCACGGGGUGGGGAUGUCCUGAGGGCCAUUUGGGGAGGAGCGAG